rnacentral:rRNA from 1 species
CCUACGGGUGGCAGCAGUGAGGAAUAUUGGUCAAUGGCCGGAAGACUGAACCAGCCAAGCCGCGUGAAGGACGAAGGUGCAAAGUAUUGUAAACUUCUUUUGUCAAGGGACAAAAUCAGGCACGAGUGCCUGAUCGAGGGUACCUGAAGAAAAAGCAUCGGCUAACUCCGUGCCAGCAGCCGCGGUAAUACGGAGGAUGCGAGCGUUAUCCGGAUUUAUUGGGUUUAAGGGGUGCGUAGGCGGUCUGUUAAGUCAGCGGUAAAAGCCCGGGGCUCAACCCCGGCGAGCCGUUGAAACUGGCUGUCUUGAGUUGUCGAGAGGUAUGCGGAAUGCGCGGUGUAGCGGUGAAAUGCUUAGAUAUUGCGCAGAACUCCGAUUGCGAAGGCAGCAUACCGGCUGCGAUCUGACGCUGAGGCACGAAAGCGUGGGUAUCGAACAGGAUUAGAUACCCCAGUAGUC